AUAUAUGAAAUGAUAUAUCAUAUACGAUUUCGGCUCGUACAUAGGUAUAAACAAUUUAUACCCUUAUAUU
rnacentral:tRNA from 1 species